rnacentral:rRNA from 1 species
GAUGAACGCUGGCGGCGUGCCUAAUACAUGCAAGUCGAGCGAACAGACGAGGAGCUUGCUCCUCUGACGUUAGCGGCGGACGGGUGAGUAACACGUGGAUAACCUAUCUAUAAGACUGGGAUAACUUAGGGAAACCGGAGCUAAUACCGGAUAAUAUAUUGAACCGCAUGGUUCAAUAGUGAAAGACGGUUUUGCUGUCACUUAUAGAUGGAUCCGCGCCGCAUUAGCUAGUUGGUAAGGUAACGGCUUACCAAGGCGACGAUGCGUAGCCGACCUGAGAGGGUGAUCGGCCACACUGGAACUGAGACACGGUCCAGACUCCUACGGGAGGCAGCAGUAGGGAAUCUUCCGCAAUGGGCGAAAGCCUGACGGAGCAACGCCGCGUGAGUGAUGAAGGUCUUCGGAUCGUAAAACUCUGUUAUUAGGGAAGAACAAAUGUGUAAGUAACUAUGCACGUCUUGACGGUACCUAAUCAGAAAGCCACGGCUAACUACGUG